CGACCUUAAUCUUGUGUCUUUGUUUUUGUCUUAAAAUAGGUGCAAAUAAAUCUGCCAGUGGAGUGAGAUAAUCUCACUUAAACAAAAUGACAAUUUCAUUAAAGCCCUUAUCUGUAGACUUAAAGACUUAAAACCCCCCCCCCCCCCGCCCCCCGCGACCCUGAACGGGAUAGGUGGUUACAGAUAAUGGAUGGAUGGAUCUGUCAAACUGCUCUUAUGCCGAAUUCGCACAAGGCAGCGGCGACUCACUGCAGUAAUUCCAUUUCUCUGCGGCCGAGAGGUGUGCUCACAUGUUUCAGGCUGGAAGAAAUUCUUUGUAACACACAGGUCAACGUCACAGGACUCACAGGAUCUGUUUACUGAUUGGCUGUGUGUCCUCUCUUUUCGCCACCAGAAGUUAACUUUUCCCAACUUUUAGUUUGGCCGCACUUCGCUGCAGAAUCAAAUGGUCACAGCUCACUGCAGCUUUUACAUGGCAUCGCGCCGCACUUCGCGUGCUGCUGAUAACCGCACCACCUGAUCUGGUGUGAAUGUAGCCUAUAACGCCGGAUUCACACCAGAUCAGGUGGUGCGGUUAUCUCGUUCAUUUUAAUCUGUGUAACGGGUGCCGAUGCGACGCUGCAGGGGACGCCGAAAAUAAAAACGCAGCGGCCUGCAGCAGAAUAGUAGACACAGAAUAAACUUUUGGAGCAACGCAAACAGACGCUUUUGUAUUUUUACUUCCUGUUUUUUGCUUAAUUUCAUUUCAUAUAAGAGAUGAGGCUCAGCCUCUUCAUCAAUUUGUUUGGUCUAUAUUU